UACAGAGGUCCCAAGCGUUGUUCGGAUUCAUUGGGCGUAAAGGGUGCGUAGGUGGCGCCGUAAGUCGGGUGUGAAAUUUCGGAGCUUAACUCCGAAACUGCAUUCGAUACUGCGGGGCUCGAGGACUGGAGAGGAGACUGGAAUUCAUGGUGUAGCAGUGAAAUGCGUAGAGAUCAUGAGGAAGACCAGUGGCGAAGGCGGGUCUCUGGACAGUUCCUGACACUGAGGCACGAAGGCCAGGGGAGCAAACGGG
rnacentral:rRNA from 1 species